GCCAGGUGUGGUGGCACAUGCCUGUAGUCCCAGCUACUUGGGAGGCUGAGGCAGAAGAAUUGCUUGAACCUGGGAGGCGGAGGUUGCAGUGAGCCAAGAUUGUGCCACUGCACUCUAGCCUGGGUGACAGAGCAAGACUCUGCCUCAA
rnacentral:SRP_RNA from 1 species